GAUGAACGCUGGCGGCGUGCCUAAUACAUGCGAGUCGAGCGAACGGACGAGAAGCUUGCUCCUCUGAUGUUAGCGGCGGACGGGUGAGUAACACGUGGAUAACCUACCUAUAAGACUGGGAUAACUUCGGGAAACCGGAGCUAAUACCGGAUAAUAUUUUGAACCGCAUGGUUCAAAAGUGAAAGACGGUCUUGCUGUCACUUAUAGAUGGAUCCGCGCUGCAUUAGCUAGUUGGUAAGGUAACGGCUUACCAAGGCAACGAUGCAUAGCCGACCUGAGAGGGUGAUCGGCCACACUGGAACUGAGACACGGUCCAGACUCCUACGGGAGGCAGCAGUAGGGAAUCUUCCGCAAUGGGCGAAAGCCUGACGGAGCAACGCCGCGUGAGUGAUGAAGGUCUUCGGAUCGUAAAACUCUGUUAUUAGGGAAGAACAUAUGUGUAAGUAACUGUGCACAUCUUGACGGUACCUAAUCAGAAAGCCACGGCUAACUACGUG
rnacentral:rRNA from 1 species